rnacentral:rRNA from 1 species
AACUGCGAGCGAACGGGGAAUAGCCCAUCACCUAGUCCGGCGCCAAAAUGGCGUUACGGAUAUUCGGCGUAUAGGAGAGACUCUUCCGAGUACCACCUCCGGUGCAAGUCCCCCUGACUGGGGCUCUUACCCCGAGAGGGUGCAAGGCCCGUAGCUGCCGGAAGGCGGUCUCGGAUGUCCUCUCCUGGGAGUCGGGUUGCUUGAGAGUGCAGCCCUAAUUAGGUGGUAAACUCCAUCUAAGGCUAAAUACGACCUCGAGACCGAUAGCGAACAAGUACCGUGAGGGAAAGUUGAAAAGGACUUUGAAGAGAGAGUUCAAGAGUACGUGAAACCGUUCGGAAGAAAACGAGUGGGCCCUCGAAGUCAGAAGGCGGGGGGACUCAGCCGAAGGCGUGGAGUCUUCGCGGUUCGUCCGGGUUCCCAAACAGGACCGGUCAUCCGCGAUCAUGGCUCUCGUCGCCGGCGCAUUUCUUCCCGCUCUCAGACGCUGCGACCGGUCGGGUACGCUACAAGCAGUCGGCCUUACUCGCGGGAAACGGCAGGUAACCGGGUCAGCGCUUCGGUGCUAUCUCCGGUGUUUAGCCAUCCCGUUUUCGAGUUGCCGUUCACCCGACCGCAGGAACCGGCCCUCAGGGGCCUCGCCGUGGCUUCCCUUUCUGGGAUGGUUGUCUUCUCGGAAGAGAUGUCGUCGCACUCCCGUUUCACCCUCGGUGUGCGGGAGACGCCGAUGCUCGUUCGCCGAGUUGCUGUCCAUCGGCCGCAGGCGGUCAGCAGCGAGUAGGUCGGUCACCCACUCGACCCGUCUUGAAACACGGACCAAGGAGUUUAACAUGCACGCGAGUCAUUGGGUCGUGUACAGGCCCAAAGGCGCAAUGAAAGUGAAGGGCGGCUUUCGCCGUCUGCGUUGGGAUCCGGCGGUUUCGGCCGCUGGCGCACCAACGGCUCGUCCGGACCGCCACGUCGGCCGGGCGAAGCUAGAGCGUGCACGUUGAGACCCGAAAGAUGGUGAACUAUGGCUGGGCAGGACGAAGCCAGAGGAAACUCUGGUGGAGGUCCGCAGCGGUUCUGACGUGCAAAUCGAUCGUCAGACCUGGCUAUAGGGGCGAAAGACUAAUCGAACCAUCUAGUAGCUGGUUCCCUCCGAAGUUUCCCUCAGGAUAGCUGGCGCUCGGGAGGAAGCAGUCUCAUCCGGUAAAGCGAAUGAUUAGAGGCCUUGGGGCCGAAAAGACCUCAACCUAUUCUCAAACUUUCAAUGGGUGAGAAGUCCGGUUUGCUUGAUUGAAGCCCGGACAUUCUCGGAUGCGAGUGCCCAGUGGGCCACUUUUGGUAAGCAGAACUGGCGCUGUGGGAUGAACCAAACGACGGGUUAAGGGGCCCGAUGCAGGACGCUCAUGAGAACCCAUGAAAGGUGUUGGUUGCUAUAGACAGCAGGACGGUGGCCAUGGAAGUCGGAAUCCGCUAAGGAGUGUGUAACAACUCACCUGCCGAAGCAACUAGCCCUGAAAAUGGAUGGCGCUUCAGCGUCGACCCCAUACCCGUCCGCCGCGGCAGAGAUGAGAUCACAUUAUGCCGCGGCGAGUAGGAGGGCGCGGAGGCGUGCGUGGAAGGUGCCGGGCGUGAGCCCGCCUGGAGCCGCCUCCGGUGCAGAUCUUGGUGGUAGUAGCAAAUACUCAAGUGAGAACCUUGAGGGCUGAGGUGGAGAAGGGUUCCAUGUGAACAGCAGUUGAACAUGGGUCAGUCGGUCCUAAGGGAUAUCCGAAAGGAUUUCCGAAGGGGAGACCUAUUUGUCUUGGUCUCCCCCAUGACCGAAAGGGAAUCGGGUUAAUAUUCCCGAACCCGGAUACGGAGAUCGGUCCCUUCGGGGAAUCGUGCGGUAACGCAAUCGACCUCGGAGACGUCGACGGGGGUCCCGGGAAGAGUUGUCUUUUCUUUGUAAGGGUUCGGCUCCCUGGAAUCGGCUCGCCCGGAGAUAGGGAUGCUGAGCCCGUAAAGCACCGCGCCUCUUGUGGUGUCCGGAGCGCUCCCGUCGGCCCUUGAAAAUCCGAGCGAGAGUUGGUGAUUUUCGUACCGGCCCGUACCCAUAUCCGCAGCAGGUC